rnacentral:rRNA from 1 species
CAGUCGCCGCGGGAAUACGUAGGGUGCAAGCGUUAAUCGGAAUUACCGGGCGUAAAGCGUGCGCAGGCGGUUCGGAAAGAAAGAUGUGAAAUCCCAGGGCUCAACUUGGGAACUGCAUUUGAAACUGGCAAGCUAGAGUCUUGUAGAGGGGGGUAGAAUUCCAGGUGUAGCGGUGAAAUGCGUAAAGAUCUGGAGGAAUACCGGUGGCGAAGGCGGCCCCCUGGACAAAGACUGACGCUCAGGUGCGAAAGCGUGGGGAGCAAACAGGAUUAGAUACCCGCGUAGUCCCUGUCUCUUAUAC